UGAUGCAGCGACGCCGCGUGGGGGAUGACGGCCUUCGGGUUGUAAACCUCUUUCAGUACAGACGAAGCGCAAGUGACGGUAUGUACAGAAGAAGCACCGGCCAACUACGUGCCAGCAGCCGCGGUAAUACGUAGGGUGCAAGCGUUGUCCGGAAUUACUGGGCGUAAAGAGCUCGUAGGUGGUUUGUCGCGUUGUUCGUGAAAACCUGAGGCUUAACCUUGGGCGUGCGGGCGAUACGGGCAGACUGGAGUACUGCAGGGGAGACUGGAAUUCCUGGUGUAGCGGUGGAAUGCGCAGAUAUCAGGAGGAACACCGGUGGCGAAGGCGGGUCUCUGGGCAGUAACUGACGCUGAGGAGCGAAAGCGUGGGGAGCGAACAGGAUUAGAUACCCUGGUAGUCCACGCCGUAAACGGUGGGUACUAGGUGUGGGUUUCCUUCCUUGGGAUCCGUGCCGUAGCUAACGCAUUAAGUACCCCGCCUGGGGAGUACGGA
rnacentral:rRNA from 1 species